UCCCUGGUGGCUCAAACAGUAAAGAAUCUGCCUGCAAUGCAGGGGACCCAGGUUCGAUCCCUGUUUUGGGAA
rnacentral:tRNA from 1 species